rnacentral:tRNA from 5 species
UGGCCUAGUGGCUCAGUUGGUUAGAGCGCCGCCCUGUCACGGCGGAGGUCACGGGUUCGAGUCCCGUCUGGGUCGU